CAUCUAAAUUAUCAGUUUAUUAAAUUUUAAUUUGUAAGUUGAAAGCACUAAAACAAAAAGGUAAAUAGUUCCAAUUCAAAGGGAGAAUUAUAGACAUCAAUCCAACAGCAUUAACAGUAGUUUUUCAUGAUAGUGACACCUGAUCUUUAACAUUUUUGUUUGGGUCUCUGACUGUGAACAAACUUGGAAAAGGUUGGUUCUGGUUAGAUCUUGGAGCUAUGGCAAAAAAACAAUAGGUACUAACUGGUCUAUGGGGAAAUUAAAUGCAUAUUUGGUACGUUUUAACAACAUUGACAAGUAAAUGCAAGUUUUAAGGUGAGAAGAAAUGAGCACGAUUAACCUUCUGAUGAUUAUACCAUAGCGUUUUGCUAUGCUAUGCCACUUCUCCCACGCCCGUUACAAGUUUUAGAGGAAUUAUCAUCUCCAAAUACGACUUCUU
rnacentral:lncRNA from 1 species